GUGCUUGCUUUGGAAGCACAUAUACUAAAAUUGGAAUGGUACAGAGAAGAUUAGCAGGGCCCCUGCACGAAGAUGACAUGCAAAUUUGUGAAGCAGUCCAUAUUUUU
ensembl:snRNA U6 U6 spliceosomal RNA